GACAGAGGGGGCAAGCGUUGCUCGGAAUUACUGGGCGUAAAGGGCGCGUAGGCGGCAUAUUAAGUCAUCUGUGAAAUCUCCGAGCUUAACUCGGAACUGUCAGCUGAUACUGAUGUGCUAGAGUGCGGAAGGGGCAAUCGGAAUUCUUGGUGUAGCGGUGAAAUGCGUAGAUAUCAAGAGGAACACCUGAGGUGAAGACGGGUUGCUGGGCCGACACUGACGCUGAGUGACGCGAAAGCCAGGGGAGCAAACGGG
rnacentral:rRNA from 1 species